UACGUAGGGGGCUAGCGUUGUCCGGAAUCAUUGGGCGUAAAGCGCGUGUAGGCGGUCCGGUAAGUCCGCUGUGAAAGUCGGGGGGCUCAACCCUCGGAUGCCGGUGGAUACUGUCGGGCUUGAGUACGGAAGAGGCGAGUGGAAUUCCUGGUGUAGCGGUGAAAUGCGCAGAGUAUCAGGAGGAACACCAAUUGCGAAGGCAGCUCCGCUGGGACGUUACUGACGCUGGAG
rnacentral:rRNA from 1 species